GGGUCAGUAGGUUGGUCGUGCCACCGGUACGUACUGGUCUCACUGAUUCCUCCUUCCUGAAGAACCGUAAUGCCAUUAAUUUGGUGUUGCUGGGAAACAGGACUGUUACUUUGAAAAAAUUAGAGUGUUUAAAGCAAGCUGACGCUUGAAUACAUUAGCAUGGAAUAAUGAAAUAGGACGAUCGAUCCUAUUUUGUUGGUUUCUAGGAUUGACGUA
rnacentral:rRNA from 1 species